rnacentral:ncRNA from 2 species
GGAAAGCCGGUGCGACACCGGCGCUGACCCCGCAACCGUGAGCCCGCGCCCAGGCGCCGGGCGAGCCGGACC